GGGCGCUCACGCAACCGCCUCUGUCUGGAGCGGGCUCGCCUCUGCGGCAGCGGUCAGUGCCCGGGCUUUACUGAAGCCGAGUCUACCAUAUGGGGAGGCUCCACAGCGGUGGGGGUGGCGGGGGUGGCGGGGGUGGUGGCGGCUCCUCUGCAGCAGCCUCAGCAGCAGCGGUCGCCAUGGCCAAGCCCACCGUGAAGCUCAUCUAAGAGUUGUAAGCCAAGACAAUCCUAAGCAAAAAGAACAAAGCUGGAGUCAUCACGCUACCUGACUUCAGACUAUACUGCAAGGCUACAGUAACCAAAACACCAUGGUACUAGUACCAAAACAGAUGUAUAGACCAAUGGAACAGAACAGAGGCCUCAGAAAUAACACCACACACCUACAACCAUCUAAUUUUUGACAAACCUGACAAAAACAAGCAAUGGGGAAAGGAUUCACUAUUUAAUAAAUGAUGUUGGGAAAACUGGCUAGCCAUAGGCAGAAAACUGAAACUGGACCCCUUACUUACACCUUAUACAAAAAUUAACUCAAUUUUGUUAAGGUGGAUUAAAUUAAUUUGGAUUUAAUUAAGAUGGAUUAAAGACUUAAUUAUAAGACCUAAAACCAUAAAAACCCUAGAAGAAAACCUAGGCCAUACCACUCAGGACACAGGUAUGGGCAAAGACUUCAUCACUAAAACUCCAAAAGCAAUGGCAACAAAGUCCAAAUAGACAAAUUGGACCUGAUUAAACUAAAGGGCUUCAGCACAGCAAAAGAAACUAUCAUCAAAGUGAACAGGCAACCUACAGAAUGGAAGAAAAUUCUUGCAAUCUAUCCAUCUGACAAAGGGCUAAUAUCCAAAAUCUACAAAGAGCUUAAACAAAUUUACAAGAAAAAAAACAAACAACCCCAUCAAAAAGUGGGCUAAGGAUGUGAACAGACACUUCUCAAAAGAAAACAUUUAUGCAGCCAACAAACAUGAAAAAAAGCUCAUCAUCACUGCUCAUUAGAGAAAUGCAAAUCAAAACCACAAUGAGAUACCAUCUCACACCAGUUAGAAUGGCCAUCAUUAAAAUGUCAGGAAACAACAGCUGCUGGAGAGGAUAUGUAGAAAGAGGAACACUUUUACACUGUUGGUGGGAGUGUAAAUUAGUUCAACCAUUGUGGAAGACAGUGUGGCCAUUCCUCAAAGACCUAUAACCAGAAACACCAUUUGACCCAGCAAUCCCAUUUCUGGGUAUAUACCCAAAGUAUUAUAAAUCAUUCUACUAUAAAGAGACAUGCACACAUAUGUUUAUUGCAGCACUGUUCACAGUAGCAAAGACUUGGAACCAACCCAAAUGCCCAUCAAUGAUAGACUGGAUAAAGAAAAUGUGGCACAUAUACACCAUGGAAUACUAUGCGGCCAUAAAAAAAGAUGAGUUCACGUCCUUUGCAGGGACAUGGAUGAAGCUGGAAACCAUCAUUCUCAGCAAACUAACACAAAAACAGAAAACCAAACACCGCAUGUUCCCACUCAUAAGUGGGAGUGGAACAAUGAGAACACAUGGACACAGGGAGGGGAACAUCAUACACCAGGGCCUGUUGGGGGUAUGGGGGGCUGGGGAAGGGAUAGCAUUAGGAGAAAUGCUUAAUAUAGAUGAUGGGUUGGUGGGUGCGGUAAAUCACCAUGGCACGAUUAUACCUAUAUAACAAACCUGCAAGUUCUGCACAUGUAUCUCAGAACUUAAAGUAUAAUAAUUUUAAAAAAAGGAAAAAUGUAAAAAAAGAAAUUAAAAAGUGGGGGUUGGAACAUAGAAGAAAGAAAAGAAAUGCAAUUUGAAGGACAGUAUGUGCAGUGUAAUCUCAUUUGUGGAAACAAUUGAAACAAUUUUAAAAAAAAAAUGCAUGUAAAUGUAUAGGAAACUUCUGGAAAGAUACACAAAGCCAAGAGUUAUAUGGGAAGAGGGUAAAAGAACCAUAGGGAAGAGUUAUCUUUUACUUUUCACAUAACUUUCUAUCCCUUUUUAAAAUAAUAAGCAUGUUUUAUUUUUAUAAUUUAAUGAACAGAUGUGUUGAUUUGAAAAACACACUGAUCCUGAAAGUUAAAAUUCCAAUUCAGAGAAAGUUGAUUUCUAUGAAAACUAUCAAUCCCCCAACAAUGCCAUCAAAAUGAAGUGUAGCUAUACAACACAGACAGUGGUUGAGGUUGUCAUCACUCAAUUGAAUUUCACAUAUAGAAUUUAAAACACCCAACCGGGCUCAGUGGCUCACGCCUGUAAUCCCAGCACUUUUGGAGGCCGAGACAGGAAGAUCACUAGGUCAAGAGAUGGAGACCAUCCUGGCCAACAUGGUGAAACCCCAUUUCUACUAAAAAUCAAAAAAAUAGCUGGGUGAGGUGGUGUGCUAGCUCACCAGCUACUGUAGUCCCAGCUACUCGGGAGGCUGAGGCAGGAGAAUCGCUUGAACCCGGGAGGCAGAGGUUGCAGUGAGCUGAGAUUGUGCCACUGCACUCCAGCCUGGUGACAGGGCAAGACGCCGUCUCAAAAAAAAAAAAAAAGAAUUUAAAAUGUCUCAGUCCUUGGUGGACUGAACAAAAGAAGAUUAACACGGGAAUAAAGACAAAAGAGUAUACAUGGAAGAAGGGGUCAGGGGGCUCAUUGCUUCUAGUGAACAAGGGCCCUGAGCUUCUAUACCUCUUCAUAUUUACUGAGUAAAGGAGAUAGGGAGAAAGGGGUGGUUGUCAGUAAGCUGCUUGACUUAGUGCAGGCUUGCAUGACUGCAUUCUUUGAAAAGUAGUCUCCAGAUGUUCCAGUAGAUAACCUCAAGAAGCACAGCACCAGGGAGUAAUUGCCCUCAGCAAACCUCCUGGUGGCAGGUGCAGAAGCGAGUUGCCCACAUUCUGCACUCAUGAUAAACAGUUUGCUGUUUGAUCAUAUAGCCUUCAGUGGAAUGCUGAGUUGGUCUCGACCCUCAGGCCUUUGGCUCCCUACAUUAAAACACCCAUUUCACCAGAUUAAAAAUAUUCAAUAAAAUUUCUAAAAAGCACUUAACACUUGCCAGCACUUAGUAAGGAAGUGCUCAAUAAAUACUGUUAACACUCUUACUAUUAUUUCUCUGCUUGGGAGUUGUCCUAACCCCACACCAGCCCUCCCACAUUGCCUAAUCCUGACUGGUGUCAGUGAUGCAUGACUCAACAGUGAAUCUAGGACAGCUAUUGCAAAAUGCAAGACUUAAAUUCCACCCCAGGUGAAUUCUCUUCUGGACCACAGGUAGCUCUUGAAAAGGAUGGGAGUAGAGCCCUCAAUCAUGGAGGCAUUUGUCCUUCAAGAUAGGCAGAUGUUACCACCUCCAUACAAGAACAAUCCCAUUGCCUAUUACAGUUCCCAUUUCAAAGAGAUACUCCCACAUAUGCAUGCAUUUCCCCAAAAGAUUUCCUGUUCUCCUUUUUUUUUUUUGAGAUGGAGUCGCUCAUUCUGUUGCCCAGGCUGGAGAGCAGUGGCAUGAUCUUGGCUCACUGCAACCUCUGCCUCCCAGGUUCAAGUAAUUCUCCUGCCUCAGCCUCCUGAGUAGCUGGGAUUACAGGCACGUGCCACCAGCCCCAGCUAGUUAUUGUAUUUUUAGUAGAGACAGGGUUUCACCAUGUUGGUCAGGCUGGUGUCCAACUCCUGACCGUGCCCAGCUAAUUUUUGUAUUUUUAGUAAAGACAGGAUUUCACCAUGUUGGCCAGGCUGGUCUCGAACUCCAGACUACACCGGGCUACUUUUUGUAUUUUCAAUAGAGACGAGGUUUCAUCAUCUUGGCCAGCUGGUCUCGGACUCCUGAUCUCAAGUGAUCUGCCCACCUCAGCCUCCUAAAGUGAGAUUACAGGCAUGAGCCACUAUGACCGGCCCAAGAUUUUCUGUUCUUAUCUCCAAUAAGCCAGCUUGAUGAGGAGUAGUGCUAGAGAUUCCCAUACUUCUUGACUUCCUUCUAUCCUUUUCUGCUCACAGGCCCCCUCCCUAAUGUCCCCUGUGCUCUCCACAAAAGAAAUAGUGCUAGAGGCCAAAUAGCAACCCUGCGCACACAAGGAAGGGCCAUGUAAUGUUCACCAAGCUCCCAAGCCACAAUUCUCUUUUCACAGAAUCCUUUGCUCUUUGAAGUGUAGUCUUCCUCACCUUCCUGCAACCCUCAGCCCCUCAGUGGGCGUGUCUACCUCUGAAGAGAAGGGGAAGAGACAUCAAACGCCCCCUGCAGGCCUGUCCCUUUGAACCAAGCCUUGAGAACCCCCGCAGCAGUCCUCCUGUGUACCCUCACCCCAGCCCCACACACAGAUGGAGAGCCCUGGGAAGGGUUCCCACAGUGCAUUAGCUCCAAACAGUGCAAGAGGACAAGGAGUGUGGCACUUCCAGCCUGUCAAUAAUUCAUGAGGCUCAGACUAAGGAGCAUCAGUCAGAGUCAGCUUUCCCUGGACAUGGGGAAAAUGAUAUUUAAGCUCUCCUGUCUCAUCGGGAUGUGCCGAGUAGCAAAGCAGAGGACUGCAGCUGUAACUUCUUGGCUGAGGAAAACACUAUCAAUCCAGUGCAGGCCGUCCUAUUACUUGCUCUCCAUGCAUCCCGUUUUGAAUGUCGAAAUCCUUUUUUUUUUUUUUUUUUUUUGAGACAGAGUCUCCGUCUGUCGCUCAGGCUGGAGUGCAGUGGUGUGAUCUCAGCUCACUGCAAGCUCCGCAUCCCGGGUUCAUGCUAUUCUCCUGCCUCAGCCUCCUCUGUAGCUGGGACUAUAGGCACGUGCCACCACACCCGGCAAAUUUUUUGUAUUUUUAGUAGAGAUGGGUUUCAUCGUGUUAGCCAGGAUGGACUUGAUCUCCUGACCUCGUGAUCCACCCACCUCGGCCUCCCAAAGUGCUGGGAUUACAGGCGUGAGCCACCACACCCUGCUGAAUGUCGAAAUUCUUUUUCAGCUGCUCAGCUGACCUGCACGUAUACUAAAUGAAUCUUGAGCAAACAUGAAUUCUGUUAAAAAGUCAUGCCUAGAACUGGAUUUCACAAACCAGAAUUCUUCCCCCUCUAAUUGUAGGGACAGGCAUAAGGCUGCCAAACUGGUGAUUUCACCAACAACACAUCUCUAAACCUACCCAUCUGCUUUCAUCAUCUUUUCUGAAAGAAAACACUAACACACACACACACAAAAAGAAGCAAACCUAUACUCCACAAUAAAGGACUGUUAAAUAAGCUUAACUUUAUGAAA